rfam:Oryza punctata chromosome 10, whole genome shotgun sequence.
UUUAAGUGCAGCUAUAUAAGUUUUUUGUCCAACUUUGAUCAUCCGUUUUAUUUGAAAUAUUUUUAUGAUUAAUAUUUUUAUUGUUAUUAGAUGAUAAAACGUGAAUAGUACUUUAUGCAUGAUUUAUAUUUUUUAAUUCUUAAAAAAAAAAUUCAAAUAGAACAUACGAUUAAAGUUGAAUAAGGAAAAUCAUGACUGCGUUUGAA